AAUUCUGUUGCUCUUGACUGUCUUAAUUUAAUCUGUGAAAGUCGGUCAUGAUUUGCCAGCAUAUAAGCCCUACUCAAUGCAGAUGCAGAUUCUAUAUGCAUCAUAUACAUACAUGUCUAAUCUAACAAGUGGUAACAGUCCUUUUGCCAGUUUCUUAAAAUGGUGACUACUUUAGGAACUCUCAUUUUUCCCCACAGCCCUCCCAUGUCCUACAAACUCCCACUACCGUAUAUGCGUUACUGCAUGUCCUGAGUCCUGUGCUAUUUUGUCUGAUAUCCCCUGCCUGUGGCCCUGUGUGGAGGGAUGCCAGUUUGAUUUUGGGUAUAUGCACAAAGUGGUAAUGGAAGUAUCAAAGCUGAGUAAUGUGACUGCUUCUACCAUGGGAAUUACUAUGAGCUGGGUGAGACAUCGUGGGCUGAGGGAUGCUCCGAGCAGUGUGACUGCUCUGCCCCUGCCACAAUGUGCUGCGAGCCUGCCUCUUGCCCUAAGGGAGCAAACUGCACCCUUAACGAUACCCGGGGCUGUGCAGGCAAAGAUGAAGAGCAUAAACUUGUCAAGAAUUGAGAGCUCUGUGGUGUGCAAAGCCAACCUCUGCAAACCCAGUGUUGUGUGCUGGGAGGUUCAUACUUCUACACACCUUUGAUGGAGAGAUAUUUGAAUUCCAAGGAAACUGUGCCGACACUCUGGUCCAUAUAUGGAAUAAUAACAGUGUGAAUGAUCCAUCUUGGGUCAGGUUACAAAACAACAGAACCCAGAACCAAGCCUCCUCUCUUAAAGCUAUUCAUGUAAAAGUGACCAACAACCAUAUUGGUACAGAGGGGAGAAGGGCUAAGCUUGGAUAAAUUGUCAAAAAGGCUUUUUCCUGUGACUCUACAGUUUGGGCGGCUGAGGAUUCAUCAGAGUGGUGUGUUUAUUGUUGUGGAUACUUGUUUGGGCAUCCAAGUAUGACUGUCUCCAUUACGCCACUGUCCUCCUAUCUAAUAAAACUGAAGUGCAUGGUAUGUGUGGGAACAACAAUGGCAUCAAGGAAGAUGACCUCAGGACCCCACAGGGUGGAGCUGUUAAUGCUACCGCCUUUGGCUGGAGCUGGGAGAGUUCCUGAUGGAGAAGCCGGUUGCACAGCCAACUGUGGAGGGGCCUGUCAGAGCUGCUCUGCCAAUCAACUACAAGACAACAAUGUUGCCAGCCACUGGAUCUCCUUGUGUGAUUACUUGACAUUACAACAAAGCCCUCUCUAUCUGUGCCAUGAAGUGGUACAAGUCUGCUUAGUGGUCAACAUCUUUGACCAGUUCCGACAUUCAGAAGACCUUCUGCUUGGGUUUAGAGGCUUAUGCUGCUACCUGCCAAAAUGCCCAGAUACAGAUUUGAGAGCCGAGGAACAGUACAUUCGGCCGUAAGCAAAUGCGAUGUGUGUAACUGUACGGGGAAAAUAAUCCUGGAAUUAGUU